AUUAGCUGACGAGUCCCAAAUAGGACGAAACGCGUUUCUUGGAU
rnacentral:hammerhead_ribozyme from 1 species